ACGAAAAUUCUAGCUACCCCUUUCGGACUUCCAACAAUGGAAGAUAAACUGAUAUGGUUGAGUAAUAAAUCAGGAAGGUAUACGGUGAAAAGUGGAUAUUCACUGCAUAAAAAGAAUACAAUGGCUAUUCAAGAUCAACUGCCAACAACAUCCUACCAGGUCAGCCCCGAAUUAUGGAAACAAAUAUGGAAUGUGUCUAUACAACCCAAAAUAAAGUUCUUUCUAUGGAGUGCUUGUCAAAAUGCUUUACCUACGAUGGAGAACUUGUAUAGAAGAAAAAUAGUACCUGCGCCUAUAUGUCCAUUAUGUGGUUUGGAACCGGAGACGAUAGAACACACAUUUCUUCUACGCCCUUGGAUCACGCAGCUAUGGACUGAGCCAUCCCUGCAAGUUGAAGUGAAUCGAGUAGGCUUGACCCGCUUUGAUGAAUGGUUAUACAAAGUGCACACAAGCUCUAGAACAUCUCAAGAAUUUGAACUACUUGCGAAUGUACUUUGGUGCAUAUGGAAGGAUCGAAAUCAUCAUAUUUUCAGGAAAAGUCCUCUCAAUUUCCAUCACACUCUUUUUAGAGCCAUUACCUCACAAGACAGCUUUGCCACUUGGAAUCCCAAAUCGAAAAACCAGAAGAAAGAAGCCGACUUACACAACAAAUGGCAACCCCUGAAGCUCGGUGUUCUCAAAAUCAACAUAGAUGCAUCCUUCGGGCCUACUUGCACAGAAAGAUCACAGUUAAACUCAAAUCAAGAGGUCUCAUUGUACAGUAUAGAAGAUCUUUCAGCAUCAACCUCGGAACCAAAAUCAACAAGCGAAGAAUUUCAAGACUCGUUUCCCAACUCCUAUACCUCCUUCUCCCCAACACUUGAUGUCUCAUGGACAGAAAUUGAAGAAGACCAGCUCCACUUGCAUGGAAACAUACAAUUGGCUAGCUCUACUCGCAACCCAGAGGCCUCAGCCAUAUCGCCAACAAUGACUAACUCGGAUGUUGGUAAACGAGUGAUGAUAGAACGGCCACACAAAAUGGUAUCUGAGGUCAUUCAAAAACCCACGCGCCUAGCUACUGCAAAGAAGAAGCAAGGUGAAAACAACAAUAAAUAUGCCUUAUCUCUACCCCAUGGGUUGCCCAGACGAAAUAAUCAGUCAACAAAUAAAAAGCAAGACCCAAAAAAUGUGCCCUUUGACACAGAACUAAACUCAUAUAGCAGCUACAAUGCAAAGCAAAGGGUGAGGCCAGACUUGAAGUCGAAAGAAAGAGAAGAAGCGAGAAAUCAACAAAGCAACCCAGAUCUGAACAGAGAAGAGACUGGUGGAAUCUCAGGCACCUUGCAGCGACAUCUCCCUCCAAACGAAGCUGCGUUGCGACCCAACAGGGAAGGCAAGACAAAUGUUUCUUCCAAAUACAAAGAAAAGAACAAAUAUUCGCUGGUUCUGUCCAGCAUUCUUGAAAUAGGUGUGGAUGCCGUAGAGUGGCAAGAAACCGAAAUCGCCUUUGUGCCUUGCACGCCUGACAAUGGAGACAGGGGGAAAACAACUAAGCUAAAAGAAAACUCUGAAGUUAGCCAAGAACAGAGAUCGACCUCAGAGCAGAAUAGGGAGGAAUAUGCCUAUUUUACCGGAUCUCAAACUCGACUUUUCCCCUUCACAGCAGCUGUAGCCUGUAUUUGCAGGGACGAUCUGGGAAGAAUUAUUGAUGGUUUUACUAAAUCUGUGGAGGUUAGAUCGGCCGAGCAAGCGGAGGUAAUGGCUCUGAUUGAAACUCUAGAUUUUAUCUCCUUGAAGCUGGCCCUGAAUAGAACUGAAAAAUAAAUAAUUAUACACUCUGACUGCAGCACAGUGGUAAAG
rnacentral:lncRNA from 1 species